CUGUUACUCCCUCCGUCCGGAAAUACUUGUCAUCAAAAUGAAUAAAAGGGGAUGUAUCUAGAUGUAUUUUAGUUCUAGAUACAUCCUUUUCUAUCCAUUUUGAUGACAAGUAUUUUCGGACGGAGGGAGUAUCUG
rnacentral:pre_miRNA from 1 species